GACGAACGCUGGCGGCGUGCUUAACACAUGCAAGUCGAGCGGAGCGGCGAACGGGUGAGUAACGCGUGAGUAACUGCCCCCCUCUCUGGGAUAACAGUUGGAAACGGCUGCUAAUACCGGAUAGUGGGGGAUGACUCGGGUCCUAUCAGCUUGUUGGUGGGGUAGUGGCCUCCGAAGGCGACGACGGGUAGCCGGCCUGGGAGGGCGACCGGCCAAAUUGGAAUGGGAUACGGCGCAAACACUACCGGGUGGCAGCAGUGGGGAAUAUUGCACAAUGGGGGAAACACUGAGGCAGCAACGUGGCGUGCGGGAUGACGGCCUUCGGGUUGUAAACCGCUUUCAGCCAUUACGCGGUAGUGGCAGAAGAAGCACCGGCUAACUACGUGCCAGCAGCCGCGGUAAUA
rnacentral:rRNA from 1 species